CCCAGGGGAUAUUGCCUUAAGUCCUGCUACGCUUCCGACCCCUCGUCCUUAGUUGCUACCUCCCUCGCGAGUGGACUCUAAGGAGACUGCCUUCGAGAGGCUUAGGAAGAUGAGGUCCACGUCAAGUCAUCAUGGCCCUUAGGGCUCGCGCUACACACGUGCUACAAUGCGGCGUACAAAGAGUUGCGAUACCUUGAGGUGGACCUAAUCUCUUAAAGCGUCUCUCAGUUCGGAUUGUUAUCUGCCACUCCCGAACAUGAAGCUGGAAUCACUAGGGGUCGCAGAUCAGCAAUGCUACAGUGAAUACGUUCCCGGGACUUGAACACACCGACCCAUAAA
rnacentral:rRNA from 1 species